rnacentral:rRNA from 1 species
AUGAGGCCCGGAGCUGAGUUUGUCACCAUGAGCCACCGCGCGGGGGCGCCGACGGUGGCGCCGGCGCACGGGCUGAUCAACGGGACGACGCCGCACUCGCCGUGGCAGUCACCUGUGCCGUACCUCUUCGGCGGGCUGGCCGCGAUGCUGGGGCUCAUCGCCUUUGCGCUGCUCAUCCUGGCGUGCUCCUACUGGAAGCUCUCCGGGUACCUCGACGGCGACCGGGACGGCCAGGCGGCUGAGGGCGACGGGGAGAAGGCCGCGGCGUCGGGCGCAUCCAAGCCGGCCUUGGAUUUCCAGGAGCACGUCGUGGUCAUCAUGGCCGGCGACGAGCGGCCCACGUUCCUCGCCAAGCCGGCCACCAGCCGGGCAAACGAGGUUGAGCUCGCGGCCGCGGCCGCGGCGGCGGUAGCGAGCGCGAGCGCCGUCGAUGUACCGGAGAAGAAGGUGGACGAACUGGGCUGCGAGGUGAACUCGCAGCUCGGAGGCGACCCCGCCGACGCGGCGAGCGGGAGCAGCGGCCACCAAGACGCGGCGAGCCAGAGCCGUGAUCACCACCACCAUGACCAUGAGAGCAGCAGCACGACGGCGCUCCAAGAAAGCUUGCAAUGA